rnacentral:rRNA from 1 species
GAACCGUCCAAACGUUUAUUCGGAAUUAUUGGGCUUAAAGGGUGCGUAGGCGGCUUUGUAAGUUGGGUGUGAAAUGCCUCGGCUCAACCGAGGAACUGCGCUCAAAACUACAAAGCUUGAGGGAGAUAGAGGUGAGUGGAACUAUGGGUGGAGCGGUGAAAUGCGUUGAUAUCCGUAGGAACACCGGUGGCGAAAGCGGCUCACUGGAUCUCUUCUGACGCUGAGGUACGAAAGCCAGGGGAGCGAACGGGAUUAGAUACCCCGGGUAGUCCUGGCUGUAAACGAUGAGCACUAGAUCGUAGGGGUUCCCAUGCCCUUACGGUCGAACUGAAAGGUUAAGUGCUCCGCCUGGGGAGUAUGUCUGCAAGGAUG